UACGUAGGUGGCAAGCGUUGUCCGGAUUUACUGGGCGUAAAGAGCGCGCAGGCGGUCGUUCAAGUCGCGUGUGAAAGCCCCCGGCUCAACUGGGGAGGGUCACGCGAUACUGAUCGACUGGAAGGCAGGAGAGGGUAGUGGAAUUCCCGGUGUAGUGGUGAAAUGCGUAGAUAUCAGGAAGAACACCCGUGGCGAAGGCGGUUCUCUGGAACGCAACUGACGCUGAGACGCGAAAGCGUGGGGAGCAAACAGG
rnacentral:rRNA from 1 species